UGUGAACCAGUGGGGUCCCUCAGCCUGGCCUGCAGACAUCCCCCGCGGGGUCCUGGAUUGCAAGAGGGUGCAGGCCAGGCCGAGGGACUCCACUGGUGCACG
rfam:Myotis brandtii contig163047, whole genome shotgun sequence.